CCUUGAUGACUAAUGAGUCAUCAAAAAUUAAAACAAUUGUUAAAGAGAAGUCAGCUUGUAGAGAAACUGAUUCCCUUCCCUCGCUCACACACACACGCAUCACCUCUCCUCUUUAUCCCUUCACCAUAAUUCUCCCUCCUUCCUGCUCCUUGCGUCGUCACGCCGCCGAACGUUUCCCUCUCGCCGACGACGCUGGUUCGGCUUCUGAGGAUGUUCGUUGUUGUUGUGUUGAUUCUACUGAUGCUCCCCUCUCCCGUCUCUCCUCCCUCUUGUCCAAGCUUCGUGAUGCCGCCGCUGAUGGUGGCUGAUAAACCACCUUCAUCUAUACCUCAUCUUCAAUUGAUUAUACUGAUUGUAUUAAAUUUUGAUUUAAAAUUCCAAACCCUAACUAAUGGAAUUUCUCUCUCCUCCUAUUGUGGGUGCGCCACCCCUUUUGGGUUGUCGGUGCGACGGUGUUCCAUCGCCACUUUCGUAUGUUGUUAGAGGUUGAUCGGUGUUGAUCGUUGUGCUCUUGUUCCUUUCCUCGACUCUUCUCUCCUGCUUCAGUCCUCUACCUCUCAUCUCCUCUGCUAGACUCACGGAGCGCCAUCUCCUCGUGGCUAUGCCAGAGCUGCUGCUGCUAUUCCGUUGUUGUUGUUGUUGUGUUAUCUGUAUUAUGGUUGUUGUUGCUGCUUCUAUGCCUCCCUAUUUCUCUUAUGGAAAUGGGUGAGGAACUAAAGUUGUACCAGAGAUGGUCUUGGAAUUGUAGAAGACGGAGGCAGAAUGGGAAUAUAUCGGACUGCUGAUGAUAUGAGUGGGUACCUCCUCCCUCAAGUGAUUUUUCAUGCAGUUGAUGAUAUUGCCUUUGCGGGCUUGGGUGUGUUUGAUCUGAGCUUGAAUUGCAGAACUUGGCUGAUGGUGUCAUGUGGUUGUGUUGUGCUACUUCUGGUGCUCUAUUGCUGCUUUGUUGUUGUUCUGAUGUCAUUUUGGUACUGCUGUUUUGUUCUGCUCUGGUCUGCUCCUGCCUGCACUUUGUUGUGUGAUAUGCAGUGUGUUUUGCACAUUGCUGUUGUUGAAGCCUGAUGGUGGCCGCGUAUCUGAAGAUCAUAACAGGGUGUAAUCAGUUUGUACAAAGCUAUUUUAGACCAAUGUUGUCUUGUUUUGGCAUUGCUAGUUUUUUUCCCCUUUUUUUGGGUAUGGCCCGUAUGGGUUGGAUAGCUUAUUUGUUUUGUAGUUUUUGGCUUCAAAGUUGUUAAGAGGCCUAGUGUAUUUUAUUUGGUUCAACUUGUACAAAAAUUGGUUCACAUUUGGUUAAUAAAAGUUUACUUAUUUACU